CUACACUACAGUGCAUUUAGUGUGCUGUAUUUAUUGCACAUUAAAUGGACUGUAGUGUAGCU
rnacentral:miRNA from 1 species